rnacentral:rRNA from 1 species
CUGUGCCUACGGGGCGCAGCAGUCGAGAAUCAUUCACAAUGGGGGAAACCCUGAUGGUGCGACGCCGCGUGGGGGAAUGAAGGUCUUCGGAUUGUAACCCCCUGUCAUGUGGGAGCAAAUUAAAAGGAUAGUACCACAAGAGGAAGAGACGGCUAACUCUGUGCCAGCAGCCGCGGUAAUACAGAGGUCUCAAGCGUUGUUCGGAAUCACUGGGCGUAAAGCGUGCGUAGGCUGUUUCGUAAGUCGUGUGUGAAGGGCGCUGGCUCAACCCGCGGACGGCACAUGAUACUG